GCGUUCAAGACACUAUCCGAAAGGGUAAAUAAGGGUGAUGAGCACGACGCGUUUCGUGACAAAAAAAAAUGUCUAAAUAUUCCAUUACCGUACUUCGAAGCAUGUCAACCGCUGUUUAAACAUCAAUUUUUAUGCCAUUUUUCUCAUAAAAAAAGCGAUAAUAUUCCGGCCGGGAAAAUCGUCUUUUAGUACAAAGAGAGAGAAAGUAAAAGCAUGGGAUCCCCUCGUGCACGAGCCUCAGUCUGAUGUCCCUCUGAUCGACCACCAUCCAAACGCGCUAAAUGUGUUUCAGCCUGGGGCUGGAAUUACAUCGUUCAGCUUUUUCCCGCCUUCUGAGAGCCCAUGGGAGCCGUAGGAAGUGUCACGUUACGGCAAAGAUCCUCAGUCUUCAAUAAACAGAGUCAAGAAGCUCAAGGAAUGGUCAGACAGGCCAUUUCCUGUAAGGAAUCUUCUCAGGUUUUUGCCUGCCAUAUGAGGUCUGUUAUACUCACAGACACCAUUCAGUUUUAGAAACUUUAGGGUGUUUUCUAUCCAAAGCCAAUAAUUAUAUGCAUAUUCUAGUUACUGGGCAGGAGUAGUAACCAGAUUAAAUCGGGUACGUUUUUAUCCGGCCGUGCAAAUACUGCCCCCUAUCCCCAACAGGUUAACAAGACAGGUAUCAAAAUUAUUGGCACCCUGUGGUGCUGUCAGGGGCCAACCCUCCUACCACGCCCUCACCAGCACCACAAGCCAUGUCAUUCGCUCUUGAACGCGCCCAUUGGCUUGAAAAUGAAAGUCUUUGACCUGCUCAUUUUAAUGCAACCUACGACGACUUGAUCAGAGCCUACAACUAUAUAAUUUAUCUGCGAUCCCAGAGAUUUGCCAAGGAUCCCAAAUCCUUGUAAUCAAAUGUAAAAUCACAUGUUUUAAUGUUGGUCCUUUGUCCAGUAUCUCAGUUGGUAGAGCAUGGCAUUGGUAUCACUAGGGUAGUGGGUUCAAUUACCAGGACCUCCCAUAUGAUAAAUGUGUCCACUCAUCACUGUAAAAGUGUGUGCAAAGCUGUCAUCAAGACAAAGGGUGGCUACUUCAAAAGAAUCUAAAAUAUAUUUUGAUUUGUUUAACACUUUUUUGGGUUACUACAUGAUUCCAUCUGUGUUAUUUCAUAGGUUUGAUGUCUUCACUAUUAUUCUACAAUGUAGAAAAUAGUUUAAAAAUAAUGAAAAACCCUUGAAUGAGUAGGUGUUCUAAAACUUUUGUCCGGCAGCGUAUAUGUGAAGUGGGUAAAACAGUAUGUAAACAUGAUUAAAGUGACCAUUGUUCAAUGACUCAUAGGGCAGCAGUCUCUAAGGUGCAGGGUAGAGUACCAGGUGGUAGCCGACUGUUAACAGGGACUAAAGUUCAUGGCAGGGUACUGGGUGGAGGCUGGCUAAUGGUGACUAUUUAACAGUCUGAUGGCCUUGAGGUAGAAAAUGUUUUUCAGUCUCUCUGUCCCAGCUUUGAUGUUAUUGUACUGUCUCCUCCUUCUAGAUGGUAGAGGGGUGAACAGGCCGUGGCUCGGGUGGCUGAGGUCCUUGAUGAUCUUCUAGAUGGUAGAGGGGUGAACAGGCUGUGGCUCGGGGUGGCUGAGGUCCUUGAUGAUCUUCUAGAUGGUAGAGGGGUGAACAGGCUGUGGCUCGGGGUGGCUGAGGUCCUUGAUUAUCUUCUAGAUGGUAGCGGGGUGAACAGGCUGUGGCUUGGGGUGGCUGAGGUCCUUGAUGAUCUUCUAGAUGGUAGAGGGGUGAACAGACUGUGGCUCGGGGUGGCUGAGGUCCUUGAUGAUCUUCUAGAUGGUAGCAGGGUGAACAGGCCGUGGCUCGGGGUGGCUGAGGUCAUUGAUGAUCUUGAUUUUGUGCCUUGCGAACUCCGCCUCCAGCAAGAGAUCAACCUCUGACAGUGUGCCAGAAGAAACGGGAGGAUGGAGCCAAAAGAAAUGGACGGUGAGUGGAUCUAAACUCAUGGAGCUUUUCCAAACCUGCCAGCAGGUGGAGCUGUCGUGACUGAUAGAAGAACCACCACUUGCUGUUUAACCUGUCAAGGUAUAGGGGGCAGUAUUUUCGAUUUCGGAUGAAAAGCGUGCCCAGAGUAAACAGCCUAAUACUCGGGCCCAGAGUCAGAUAUUUGCAUAUUAUUAGUAGAUUUGGAUAGAAAACACUCUGAAGUUUCUAAAACUGUUUGAAUGGUGUCUGUGAGUAUAACAGAACUCAUAUGGCAGGCCAAAACCUGAGAAGACACAUCCUUUUCACUGGAUACAUACAGGGAAAUUGCUGAUUGGGUCACACUGCUGAACCUCCAGGUGCCCAAGACAACAACCUUCUAGGAAAUACAGUUACAUGCUUCCAGUUAUUGGGAAAGGGAAAUGGGGAUACCUAGUCAGUUGGAAAGGGAAAUGGGGGAUACCUAGUCAGUUGGAAAGGGAAAUGGGGAUACC
rnacentral:lncRNA from 1 species